GCGGCGUGCCUAAUACAUGCAAGUCGAGCGAGCGGAACUAACAGAUUUACUUCGGUAAUGACGUUAGGAAAGCGAGCGGCGGAUGGGUGAGUAACACGUGGGGAACCUGCCCCAUAGUCUGGGAUACCACUUGGAAACAGGUGCUAAUACCGGAUAAGAAAGCAGAUCGCAUGAUCAGCUUUUAAAAGGCGGCGUAAGCUGUCGCUAUGGGAUGGCCCCGCGGUGCAUUAGCUAGUUGGUAAGGUAAAGGCUUACCAAGGCGAUGAUGCAUAGCCGAGUUGAGAGACUGAUCGGCCACAUUGGGACUGAGACACGGCCCAAACUCCUACGGGAGGCAGCAGUAGGGAAUCUUCCACAAUGGACGCAAGUCUGAUGGAGCAACGCCGCGUGAGUGAAGAAGGUUUUCGGAUCGUAAAGCUCUGUUGUUGGUGAAGAAGGAUAGAGGUAGUAACUGGCCUUUAUUUGACGGUAAUCAACCAGAAAGUCACGGCUAACUACGUGCCAGCAGCCGCGGUAAUACGUAGGUGGCAAGCGUUGUCCGGAUUUAUUGGGCGUAAAGCGAGCGCAGGCGGAAGAAUAAGUCUGGUGUGAAAGCCCUCGGCUUAACCGAGGAACUGCAUCGGAAACUGUUUUUCUUGAGUGCAGAAGAGGAGAGUGGAACUCCAUGUGUAGCGGUGGAAUGCGUAGAUAUAUGGAAGAACACCAGUGGCGAAGGCGGCUCUCUGGUCUGCAACUGACGCUGAGGCUCGAAAGCAUGGGUAGCGAACAGGAUUAGAUACCCUGGUAGUCCAUGCCGUAAACGAUGAGUGCUAAGUGUUGGGAGGUUUCCGCCUCUCAGUGCUGCAGCUAACGCAUUAAGCACUCCGCCUGGGGAGUACGACCGCAAGGUUGAAACUCAAAGGAAUUGACGGGGGCCCGCACAAGCGGUGGAGCAUGUGGUUUAAUUCGAAGCAACGCGAAGAACCUUACCAGGUCUUGACAUCUAGUGUCAUUUGUAGAGAUACAAAGUUCCCUUCGGGGACGCUAAGACAGGUGGUGCAUGGCUGUCGUCAGCUCGUGUCGUGAGAUGUUGGGUUAAGUCCCGCAACGAGCGCAACCCUUGUUAUUAGUUGCCAGCAUUAAGUUGGGCACUCUAAUGAGACUGCCGGUGACAAACCGGAGGAAGGUGGGGAUGACGUCAAGUCAUCAUGCCCCUUAUGACCUGGGCUACACACGUGCUACAAUGGGCAGUACAACGAGAAGCGAGCCUGCGAAGGCAAGCGAAUCUCUGAAAGCUGUUCUCAGUUCGGACUGCAGUCUGCAACUCGACUGCACGAAGCUGGAAUCGCUAGUAAUCGCGGAUCAGCACGCCGCGGUGAAUACGUUCCCGGGCCUUGUACACACCGCCCGUCACACCAUGGGAGUCUGCAAUGCCCAAAGCCGGUGGCCUAACCUUCGGGAAGGAGCCGUCUAAGGCAGGGCAGAUGACUGGGGUGAAGUC
rnacentral:rRNA from 1 species